rnacentral:rRNA from 1 species
CGGGGGGGGCGAAGCGUUGUUCGGAAUUACUGGGCGUAAAGGGCUCGUAGGCGGCCAACUAAGUCGGAUGUGAAAUCCCCACGGCUCAACUUGGGAACUGCAUCCGAUACUGGAUGGCUUGAAUCCGGGAGAGGGAUGCAGAAUUCCAGGUGUAGCGGUGAAAUGCGUAGAUAUCUGGAGGAAUACCGGUGGCGAAGGCGGCAUCCUGGACCGGCAUUGACGCUGAUGAGCGAAAGCUAGGGGAGCAAACGGGAUUAGAUACCCCGGUAGUCCUAGCCCUAAACGAUGAAUGCUUGGUGUGGCGGGUAUCGAUCCCUGCCGUGCCGAAGCUAACGCAUUAAGCAUUCCGCCUGGGGAGUACGGUCGCAAGGCUG